UACAGUCCUUCUUGGGAUUUCUUUGCCUGCCUUCAUGAUCUCACAUAACUAUUCCAUUCUCUUCCUCUCUCAUUGUCACUCAAUUCUCUGUCUCAAACUCUCCCAAACUCAAACUCACUCAAUUUUGCCUAGCUAUUUAUCAGUCCUCUAUUUUUUUUUUUCUUUUUCAUCUUCAAUCUUUGUCUCGUUGAUUUUUCAAUGGUUG
rnacentral:misc_RNA from 1 species